CUACGGGAGGCUCCAGUGGGGAAUAUUGCACAAUGGGGGAAGCCCUGAUGCAGCAACGCCGCGUGGAGGAUGACGCAUUUCGGUGUGUAAACUCCUUUUAUAUAGGAAGAUAAUGACGGUACUAUAUGAAUAAGCACCGGCUAACUCCGCGCCAGCAGCCGCGGUAAUAGGGAGGGUGCAAGCGUUACUCGGAAUCACUGGGCGUAAAGCGCGCGCAGGCGGCCCCUUAAGUUGGAUGUGAAAGCCUACGGCUUAACCGUAGAACUGCAUCCAAAACUGAGGGGCUAGAGUCUGGGAGGGGAAGAUGGAAUUAGUUGUGUAGGGGUAAAAUCCGUAGAGAUAACUAGGAAUACCAAAAGCGAAGGCGAUCUUCUGGAACAGUACUGACGCUGAGGCGCGAAAGCGUGGGGAGCAAACAGGAUUAGAUACCCUAGUAGUC
rnacentral:rRNA from 1 species